rnacentral:rRNA from 1 species
GUGAGGAAUAUUGCGCAAUGGAGGCAACUCUGACGCAGCCAUGCCGCGUGCAGGAAGAAGGCGCUACGCGUUGUAAACUGCUUUUAACCGGGAAGAAACCCCAGGACGUGUCCUGGGUUGACGGUACCGGAGGAAUAAGCACCGGCUAACUUCGUGCCAGCAGCCGCGGUAAUACGACGGGUGCAAGCGUUAUCCGGAUUCAUUGGGUUUAAAGGGUGCGUAGGCGGAGCGUUAAGUCAGUGGUGAAAUCCUGCAGCUUAACUGUAGACUUGCCAUUGAUACUGGCGCUCUUGAGUGCGCUUGAAGUGGGCGGAAUGUGCCGUGUAGCGGUGAAAUGCUUAGAUAUGGCACAGAACACCAAUUGCGAAGGCAGCUCACUAAGGCGAUACUGACGCUGAGGCACGAAAGCGUGGGGAUCGAACAGGAUUAGAAACCCCAGUAGUCC